CAAAAAAGAACGUAAGUAGACUGACACAAAAUACAAAUACCGAAACCUUCUCUCUCUCUCUCUCUCGACAGACCCGAUCGAAACAGGCCAAAGCCCUUUCUCGACUCGCCUCUCUCUCAAUAGAUGACCCAAAACCAAAACCCUAGCUAGCUCACUCUCUCGCCAAAAUGUCACUCUCCCAAACCAAUCUCAUCUCUCCGAGUGUGAUGGUAGACCGCGAACGGGAUUGAGACGUUGAACUGAGAUCGAUUUUAUUCAGCUCGACUCGAUUCCCUUGGAGCGAAGCUGUUGGAGAAAUCUGGUAAGACUCAGAACCCGGAGCGAAAACUCAGAACUCGGAGCUGACAAAGCCGGCCGAGCGUGUUGGUGAAGCGAAUACACAUAUGCAAGACCAAAUUGUUCGCGCGCCUCCAUUUUUUUCCCACAUUGGAUGCGAUUUCAGUGUUUUAUGAUGAGGACCCAAAUUUGUGGAUGGGUUUCUGGGUUUCCUCAAUCAUCAUAAGCCUCCCGAGCCGCGGAUCCGACGAGUUCAGGCCCUUCGUUCGACCUCUCCUCGAGUUUAAAUUCUGGUAGUUUUGACUUGGUUCUUCCCCAUGAACAUCUUCUCCAACCCAAUGCCAAAGAGACUUCGGGAAAGCAAGAGAGAAAUGGCUAAUGGUACUAGAGGUUCGUUAGCCUUGACGUUCGUUGUUGGUUUCAUAGAGCAGCGAGUACCUCCCGCUCCUUGCAGUGGAAGGAUAACAGGUUGGUGCCUCCCGAAUCCACCAUGACUUGCUAGACUCUGCCAAUUGGACCUUAAUUUUUGUGUUUGGCUUCAUUGACAGUUCCCCUGCUAAAGUGAUUACUAAAGAAUCUCUUUUGGUGGCACAGAAGGAGGAUUUGCGUAGAGUGAUGGACUUGCUAUUUCUGAGGGAGCACCAUGCCCGAACUUUACUCAUCCAUCACCGGUGGGAUGUUGAGAAGCUUUUUGUAGUGCUUGUAGAGAAGGGAAGAGCU